UACGAAGGGUGGCAAGCGUUACUCGGAAUUACUGGGCGUAAAGCGUGCGUAGGUGGUGAGUUAAGUCUGUCGUGAAAGCCCCGGGCUCAACCUUCAGAGGUCGACCGAAACCAUCUGGCUAGAGUCCGGAAGAGGAGAAUGGAAUUCCCGGUGUAGCGGUGAAAUGCGCAGAUAUCGGGAGGAACACCAAUGGCGAAGGCAGCUCGCUGGGACGUUACUGACGCUGAGACGCGAAAGCGUGGGGAGCAAACAGGG
rnacentral:rRNA from 1 species